rnacentral:rRNA from 1 species
AUUGAACGCUGGCGGCAGGCCUAACACAUGCAAGUCGGACGGUAGCACAGAGAGCUUGCUCUUGGGUGACGAGUGGCGGACGGGUGAGUAAUGUCUGGGGAUCUGCCCGAUAGAGGGGGAUAACCACUGGAAACGGUGGCUAAUACCGCAUAACGUCGCAAGACCAAAGAGGGGGACCUUCGGGCCUCUCACUAUCGGGUGAACCCAGAUGGGAUUAGCUAGUAGGCGGGGUAAUGGCCCACCUAGGCGACGAUCCCUAGCUGGUCUGAGAGGAUUACCAGCCACACUGGAACUGGGACACGGUCCAGACUCCUCCGGGAGGCAGCGGUGGGGAAUAUUGCACAAUGGGGGCAAGCCUGAUGCAGCCAUGCCGCGUGUAUGAAGAAGGCCUUCGGGUUGUAAAGUACUUUCAGCGGGGAGGAAGGCGGUACGGUUAAUAACCGUACCGAUUGACGUUACCCGCAGAAGAAGCACCGGCUAACUCCGUGCCAGCCGCCGCGGUAA